AUUAACAACAACAAACGAACAUGCUCCUCUGAAACCAAACCUUUGCUUUAGGUUUAAUUGAACAUAUUGGUACAUUAUGCAGACACAUAAAUACAAUGUGAUAUCACACAAUAUAAAAUACAAAUAAAAUAUAAGAUCAGCCUAACUACAUGGACAGAUGUCUGGUGUCUUGCAGUAUUUCUUAAACUUAGAGAAAAUUAUCCUUUAUUGUUUAUUCAUAAAGAUCAUGAGCCCACCCUGGACCAGGAGGACCCAGUCCUUGUUCAGCCAACUUAUUACCUUACCCAUGCUGGGAGGAUGCUGGUGAGAGAGCUGGCAGUGUUAAACACACAGAUUUUCAUGAAUGAGCAACACAUUUUCAUCUCUCAUGCUGGCACGAUGGUAUGGGAUGAACUGUUUUCUCAGCCUGAAGAGGUAGCCAUU